rnacentral:rRNA from 1 species
UACGUAGGGGGCAAGCGUUAUCCGGAUUUACUGGGUGUAAAGGGAGCGUAGACGGCAUUGCAAGCCAGAUGUGAAAGCCCGGGGCUCAACCCCGGGACUGCAUUUGGAACUGCAGGGCUGGAGUGUCGGAGAGGCAAGUGGAAUUCCUAGUGUAGCGGUGAAAUGCGUAGAUAUUAGGAGGAACACCAGUGGCGAAGGCGGCUUGCUGGACGAUGACUGACGUUGAGGCUCGAAAGCGUGGGGAGCAA